GCCAGCGUGGUGGAAAGGUUUGAGCACUGGACUAUGAUUCUAGAGACCAGGGUUCAAAUCCCAGCUUAGUCA